CAGUCGCCGCGGGAAUACGAAGGGUGCAAGCGUUAAUCGGAAUUACUGGGCGUAAAGCGUGCGUAGGCGGUUUGUUAAGUCUGCUGUGAAAUCCCCGGGCUCAACCUGGGAAUGGCAGUGGAUACUGGCAAGCUAGAGUGUGUCAGAGGAUGGUGGAAUUCCCGGUGUAGCGGUGAAAUGCGUAGAGAUCGGGAGGAACAUCAGUGGCGAAGGCGGCCAUCUGGGACAACACUGACGCUGAGGCACGAAAGCGUGGGGAGCAAACAGGAUUAGAUACCCGCGUAGUCCCUGUCUCUUAUAC
rnacentral:rRNA from 1 species